CCCUGAGGAGAUAGAAACAAGUUUGUGGGCCUCGGACAAGGAGUUAGAAAGGAGAAGGCAAACUUCUGGGCUUCACCCUGCUCACCUUCCUCCAGGUUCUGGCAAACAGAGCUGCUGCCUUGGCCCUUUAGGCUAGUGUGGUAAUCCCCACCUUAGGGCCUCUGAGGAGAGCACCUGGGCCCUGAGGGCCUGUGGGAGGGGGCAGGGUGCGGGCCACGCUCACCUAUUUCCCCCUGUGCCUGGAGCAGCAGUUAAGUUGCUUUUCACUAAACUCCUGCUAGGUCUCCUGUAACCUUUUUUUCGUGGCUCAAGAACUGUACUCCUAAAGCUUCACCUUUUGUCAUUUGUGUGUUUUGUCUCCUUCACCAGAUUUCAGGCUGGGGAGCAGCGACGUUUUUUCUUUUAUUUAUCUGUCUAUACCUCCUGCCCUAUAUCUCUGCAGUCCCAGCUUUUAACAUCUUGGCAUGAACUCACCACACCAAUUUUAAUGGUGGCUCCAAAUAGAAUACAAAAUACUCUGGAGAUUCUCGAAUGUAGUUUCUCGUUCGUAGCUGCUCAUUAGAAUCACCGGAGGAGUUUUUAAAACUCCUGGUGCCCCGGCUACACUUGAAACUAAUGAAAUCAGACACCGUUGAUGGGAUCCAGGUGGCUUGUGCUAAGAAACAAAGCUCCCUGAAGAGGCAUCCCGUAGUCCCUCCUUAUCCUGGCUUUUGCCUUCCGUGGUUUCACUCUAGCAGUUUCCAGUAACCUGGGGCUAACGCAGUCCCCAAGCUGAUGAUCCUCCUUCAGGUCAACAGUAGCCUAAGGCUUUGUCACAAGGCCUGCGUCAUUCACCUCACCUAGCCAUUUUGUCAUCUCACAUAGUCACAAGAAGAAAAAAGGGAGGAUUUUUAGUGAGCAGAUGCCUUGUGAACAUUGUCAAUUUCGCCAUAUCCAGGAAGAAUGAAUGGUCAUUUCUUGUCCCUAAGCUGCUCGCCCUUCCACGGCAAAUGGAUAUGGAGAAGUCUGCCACCAGCCGCUGAUGGAGAAAACAGCUGCCUUCAUAGGGGAUCCCACAGUGAAUUUGGAAGUCAAGUGAGCUAAAGGAAGGAAUUCACAGAUCUCUAUCAAAAGCACCUCCAUGGUCUAUCCUGUGAGGUGUUACCCAUCUAACCUAUCAGGUGUCUUUUUCUAAACAUUCUGCUCAAAUAUUUCUUAAGGCACCAAGGAGAAUUUAUAGUUGCAGUAUUAUGGUUGCAAGGGGCUUUCAUAACUGUAACCAAUACCAAAUAUCUAUAUUAUGUUUCACAAAUUAAAUGACAUGUAGUAGCUUAGUGAAGGCAUGGCCUUUAGAGAUGCCCACCACUGCUGGCUUUAUUUCCUUGGUAGUUUCUUCAGUUUGCUCAUGGGUAAAUGAGGAUAGCGCUGCUCUUGUCCUUAGGUUAUCUAAAGAUUGAGGUGGAAAUAUUAGUGUCUACCACAUGGAAUGUACACCACAAAUGGCAGCUCUUGCUAUUAUCAUCAUUAUCAGUGUUGACUCCUGAUACUCCCAGCAAUCCAUGAAGGGAAAGAGCAAGCCGUGACAGGAACACCUGUAGUGAGGAUCAGGGGAAGAGGAGAAGAGAAAGGAUAAUCAUUCCUAUUUUACCAAUGUGGAUGGAUCCAAAGCUCCGAUUUAUUAGUGCAGUUCAGAAAAUAAGUCUGAUGAUUCAGGGUUAGGCAGACUCUUACUUCUCAUCAGUCUUGAAGCCAUGGGGCAUGGUUUACACAAGGCUGGCCAGAGGAUCUCCUUUAUCUGAAAGCCCCAGGUUGAUGGCAUAGCAUUGCAGCUAUCACACAGAGCCACAGCUUUGUGCAUGAUGAGUACCACAACUCUCCCGUCUGCCACCCUGUCCCCUGGGAUCAUUUUCCUAACCUCCUCAACCAUGCACAUUCCACUUCCCUGUGGUACAAUUCUUAGCAUUUAGCAAGAAAGUGGAAUAUCUCCCAACACAUUUAAAUAAUUUAUUUGCAGUGCUAAAAUGUUUUUGUCGCCUGAGUCCAGAUUAGAUUGAGAUUUUUCUUUUUUUCCAAUACAAGAGAAGUAAUUGAGAGAAGUGGCUAAGUGUUAUUGCAGGCACAAUGAAGUCAUUAAACUGGCACACAAAAAUGCAGUGAUAGACGCAGAUGGAAGGGGAUGAAUGAACGUCAGGAAAAGACAUCAGAGGCUUCCACAAUGAGAUCAGAAAGGACCAAGGAAGAAGUGCCCCUUCUCUACACUAUCCCAGGGGCAUGAGGCAGACAGGAGGAGUGCCACUGAGUUUAUGUCAUCUACAUUUCUUAUGGACUUUGAUGUACUUCUUGCAAAACAGGAGAUAUCCUUCAUGUUGGGAAUCACUGGGUUGGCAGGUGUUACCCAUCUACCUGGUUCAUAGGUUUCUGUAUCUAAGUCACAAAGGGUUAGUAGGUUUGCGACCCAUAAGAAGUCUGUCACCAUGAGUCUGAGAGGAACAAAUUACUAUGUUCUUCUAAAGAAUCUUUUAUUCUUAACUAAAUUUGAAAUUGAAAAUCUCAAAAUAAACAUGAAAUUAGUCUCCUGUGUGGCACAAUGCCCUAUAAUUUUCAGCUCACUGGGAUCUAUAAAUUUAAGCUUUUGAAUUCACAGAAAACAUUCAGAUGCAUAAAUGAGUUCAGUUUCUCUGAGACCUGGCUAUAAGGUUAGGUACCUAAUCUGAACCUACUGCUGAGGACUUCUGUUGGGAGAAAGUUGGGUGCCAUGUUUUCUCACACUGUCAAUUUAUGCCUUCUUCAGGGACAAUUCAGUGUAACUCUAUUGGUCGACCUCUUGUUCUCGAUAUCCAUAGAAUAUCAUUACAUGCUAAGAUUCUGGUUUCAAACCAGAAGCAUGUGGGCACAUGUUUGAAACAAAUUCACAAUGAAGAAAGGCCUACUACCUUCAUACAUGUCUCUGCUCCUGAACCCAACAUCCAUUUCUCCUUUACUCAUUAUUUUCAUGUCUUUAGUUGUUUGAAAGCUGUAUACAUUGGGGAAUUUGAAUCUCACUCUUUAUGUUAGAAUACUCUUUUGAUAAAGAAUUAGGGUGGGAAAAGCCAAUUAACCAACCAGGUUGGUGGGAUUCAGCCAAAUAGAGCUGCCAACAAAAUACUGAGAUCCAUGGAAAGAGAAACCAUAGAGUUGGAGCCAUGACCUCUCUAGGUCAUUUAUAAUCAAAACAUGAAGUUAGCAGAGACUAGGAUUGAGUUAUCAUGCUUCUCUCCUCUCAUCAUCCCUCCUCUUUCCCUACCCUUUCUCCCUUUCCUGUCCCUGCACACCACAACACUCACACACACACUUCAGAACUGGAUGAAAGCCUAAUGGUAAUUCCAUACCAACUUUUAAUCUGUCCAAAUUACCAGGUUCCCACUGCCAUAUGCCAAGGUACCAGUGAGCUUUCUGGUGCCACCCAGCAAUUCAGAGUGGUUAUGACUGUAAGAUGAUAGCUGUGCCCUUGUUGCAGUUUGCUUUAUGAACUCCCCUGGCUUAUGGCUUUUUAACUUUGCAAUAAUGAGCCCCUUUGUGCUGAAAUGGAGGCCAAGGGAUGGAGAAGGGAUUCCAGUUUAAAUGGGAAAAGGAGAAGAAAAUAAAACACCCAUUUUCAAAUCAUAAGGCAGGAAAAAACAAGGGCAGUAACCGGUUGUUAAAAACAUUGUCCUUAUAAGACGAUGGCAACUAAAAAAUCACUUUAUAUAUAAAAGAUACCUACAUUCAUUGAUUGAAGACUAAAUAAAAAAUAGAGCAUGCAUUUAUGGGAGAUUUUUGUUUGUUUUACUUUUUAGUUACAAAUACAUUCUUCAUAAAGUUUUCUUUGACUAGUCAUUUUCUACUUUGACUAUUGAAAGAUUCUCCUACAAACUCAAAGUAUGAAUUGGCUGAAUUAAACAAAUAGGAUAGAGAAAAACUCUUCCACCACAUUUUCAUGUUUUACCCUCUCUUUUACAUGGCCCUUAAAGAGCUACCCAAAUCCUUUAUCAUCAAACAUAACCCCCUGUGUCAUGUAGAGCAUGGCCAAUAUCCCACUACACUGGAAGAUUUCAUCUCACUUUCUUCCAUGGAGUCCUUCUCAUUUAACUUCCUUUGUCAUCUUCUCCAAUUCUUUAUUCCGCUAAUGUUCAUGUACUAGGAAUAGAGUAGUGAUGAAAAAGAAUAAAACUCCCAGCCUUUAUUUGAAUGGAAAUAGAGACAGAUAAUAAAGAAAAUAAUAUUUACAAUAUAUCAUAUGUUUUAUGGUGAUUGGUUAAGGGAAAAAUAAAAUAAGGAAGGGCUCUGGUGAUGUUGUGUGCGUUUGCCCACUUCAAUAGAGUAGUCAGGGGCCACCUCCCUGAGAAAGUGGUCCCAUUGCUCCACCUUGUCAGAAGACAGGUGAUAUCCCCAUGUUUGUUGUUUUUUGAGGUCUCAAGUGACCCUCAAACAACUUUCGACCAGAUGUUGAACACCAGAUCAAGGAACAGUGUUCUUACUUGACAUGUUCUGUGUUCAGUGUGGCAGGAAAUGUGAGGAAAACAAAGAAUUAACAGAAAUAAAAGAUAAUUAACUUUUUUUACCAUUUUGAAUAGAUUCCACCAUCUUGGUAGAAAUAAACUAUAUUAAUCAUUGUUUAUGUUAAAAAAUCAACACAAAUCAUGCUAUAAAAGAGCUGUUUGCCAUAGGCCGGGUAGCCAGAAAGGCUUUUUCUUGGUAGGUUGCUUAUUAUCAGAGCUAUGAAAGAAAUGAUAUGGGUAACAAGAAAAGGACAUUGGAGGGGAGGGGAGCAACAAGGCUUCUGCUGUCUCCAAUUUCUCAACAGAGUUUCUAAAUAAUCUAUGAAUUAAUGCAUUUGGACCUUCAAGAUAAUUUCCAACUUUUUCCCCCAAGGCUCUCUCCUGCCAGCAUAUGUUGUUUUCUUUUCUCAUGCCUAAUUUUCUCUUUGGUGGUUUGGAUUAUUCUGAGUUCAGUGUUCAAGACCAUGUUCUGUUCAAUUUUAUUUUUCCUCAGUCCUUCAUGAGCACUAGGCUCUGUUUAGGCAACCAAAAAGAUGUACAAAACAAAGACCCUCCUCUCAGGGAACUACUGAACUGAUAAGUGACCUAAUAACUAUACAAUUAUGGUAGAUAAUGCUCACCCUUUAUCAGAAUCCACACUUCUUUGAUUUGUUCACUAGGCAUAUGAUCAUCCAGAAAAAAGCAACAUUUCCUUUGUAGGUAAAGACAGCCUCACUUCUGGCCAAUGAGUGGUAAAAAGAAGGGAUAGAACCCUUUCUUUAAAAUCUAUUUAUGGUUGAUUUAUGCUUCUGACUACUACAGAACCAGUAUACUUACAUGAACAACUAGAAAACUGGAUAAAAUAUAUGAAACAACUCUUUCAGAUAUUAAGACAGUAGGCAGAGCAAGUCUGUGAUCACUGAGAAGAGGGAAACUGAGGUGAAGCCUGCUAUUGGCCUUGCUUUCUGCCUACCGAAGAUGGCCUGAGGAAGAAGAUCCCCAGCAAGUACAUGUCAGUUUUCUGAAAUGAAAAGCAAACACUAGAUUUGGGGAAGGCUGAAGCAGAAAGAAUUUGUAGGACAUAGUAUUGGAGAGGAACAAUCUAUGAAAAGAAACAUUCAUAGAAUAUGCAUGUAUAAAGUGCAUGUAUAAAGUGCAUGUAUAAAUUGAAACUCAACAAAAAGCAACUGCUGGGAAAAAAAUAUCAAGGAACUGUAGAACUUUAACUAGAAUGAGAGAUAUUCAAACUCUUUUCAGCUAGAGUGGAGAAACCUCUUUCAACCCUCAGGAGAUUCAAUAAAAAGCCUAGAAGGGCCCUGACUUUGUACUAUGGCUGAAUUAGUCCUAGGGUAAAGGCUACUCUACACCAGUCCUAACAAAGCUUACAAACAAACAAUAAAGUUUAAAACCAAACUUGUAUCUUAAUUACCUAACAGGAACUACUUCAUCAGCUUUUAAAGGAAGAAAACAUAGUAAAUACUCAAUAUUGUAACAUAAUAUGAUAUUCAAUAAAAAUUUGCCAGAUAAGCAAAGAAACAGCCACUUGUUACCACAAAAUAGGAUAAAAUACAAGCAGAAUCAGAAAUGACACUGAUGAUGAAAUUAAAAGAGAAUGAUUUUAAAUCAGCCAUUACACGUGAUCAAUAGUUCCUAAAAGAACAUGAUCAUAGUAAAGAAAUAAGCCAAUAAUAAAAAAGAACUUCUAGAGAUGAAAAAUAAAAUAUCUGAAAUAAAAAUGUAUUUAAUAGAAUUAAUAAUUUUAAUAAUGAUUAUAAAGAAUUUAUAAUAAAUAUUUUUUUCAGGUAACAAAGUCCAUUUUGUUUUAUUUCUAACCCGAAUAUUGCAAAUACAUGAAAAUUGCCAGUGCAAAGUUAAACACAUUCAGAUUUAUUUGCACAACGCUAAGGAAAUUUGAGUUUGAUUUCCAUUUUGUAAAAUUUUGUUAUGGGAUCUGGCUUUGUUGUAUAACUGACAUGGGUCAUUGAAACUUGAUUAUUCCACCCACAUGUAAUUUUCUGUCCCAAUGAAAUAGGAAAUUUAGGGUUUUAGCACACAUACAUAAUGAUGUUAAUAUUGCUUUACAUUUUAGUAGGAAUGCAAUUGUCCCACAGCUUGGGGAGAGGACAGAGAAGUUAUAGGACAGGGAGGGACCACAUGCUCAGAAAGGGAACAACAGACAAGAGAGGGUUGAACAACAAGUAUAUGGGGACCCUGCAUGUUUUUGUGCAUGAGGAUAAGGAAGGUAGUUCAGAAGAAAUACUACAGAAGAAAAGAUAGUGAAUAUGAAGACAAAGCAAUAGAAAUUAUCUAAGCUGAAGUAUAAAUAGAAAAAAAACUAAAGCAAAAUUUAAGAGACUCAGUGACUUGGGAUAGCACAAGAAUCUAACAUAUGAGAGACUGUUUUCCCAAAAGGAGUGGAAAGAAAGGUACAUAAAAUUUUUUGAGUAAAUACCAAAAAAUUUAUCAACUUAAUUUUAGUUUCUGAUUGUUUGCUAAUAGUAUGUAGAAAUGUAGUUUAUUUCUGUAUACUAACCUUUAUCUUAGCCCUAAA